rnacentral:rRNA from 1 species
UACGGAGGGAGCUAGCGUUGUUCGGAAUUACUGGGCGUAAAGCGCACGUAGGCGGCUUUUUAAGUCAGGGGUGAAAUCCCGGGGCUCAACCCCGGAACUGCCCUUGAAACUGGAAGGCUAGAGUCUUGGAGAGGCGAGUGGAAUUCCGAGUGUAGAGGUGAAAUUCGUAGAUAUUCGGAAGAACACCAGUGGCGAAGGCGACUCGCUGGACAAGUAUUGACGCUGAGGUGCGAAAGCGUGGGGAGCAAACAGG